ACUUUUUCUACUUGAAAACUUUUUUAGCUUCNCAAGCAGGGGUGGUGGCAGUACCAGGGUGCGGUUUUUUCCAUACCAGUUCAUCUGCGGAGGACUCUUCUCAGGCUGCACUUGGCUACCAGAGAAGAUAUAUCAGAUUUGCAUUCUGCAAAAGCCAGGAUACAUUGGCUGCUGCUUCAAAGAAGAUUAGUGGGCUUCUCGAUGGUACAGGAAAUUUCAAGCUACUUUAAGUUGCUUAGUUUUAUAUGAUGGAGCUGCUAUAAGGAUCUUAGAACUUGAAAACAUAGUCAAGUUACAUUUUAAUCGACUUAAUCUAGAUGGUAAAGGUAUGAAGUAGUUUGUAAGAGACUUAAGAGAAAUGUGUGGAAUCUUGGGAGCAUUUGAGCAUGGAUCUUAAAAUUUCUGAUGACUGAAUCCUAGAAUUUGAGAUCCUUCAUUGUCAUGAGCAAUCUGAGAGGUUUUACCAUGACUUUGCUCAUGUCAAAUAUGAAUGAAAGAUUGCUGAAGUUUUCUUGCGAUUCAGCCAGCUAACAAUUUCUUGUUUACGUGAAUCAUUCUUGUCAUAGAGAACAUUCAAUAAAAAAAACAUUGGAAUUCUGCACUAUGGUUUGUCUAGUUUGGCUUAUAAAUAUGAUCAGAAAGAAUGUCUCACUCCUUCAUGCUUCUUUGAGAGUGAUUAAUGUGUAAGUAAUGAG
rnacentral:lncRNA from 1 species